GGGAUACAUACACUGGGUAGGGGAGCGUUCUGUAAGCGGAUGAAGGUGUGUUGAGAAGCAUGCUGGACGUAUCAGAAGUGCGAAUGCUGACAUGAGUAACGAUAAUGCGGGUGAAAAACCCGCACGCCGGAAGACCAAGGUUUCCUAUCCCAUGCUAAUCAGGGUAGGGUAAGUCGGCCCCUAAGGCGAGGCGGAAACGCGUAGUCGAUGGGAAACAGGUUAAUAUUCCUGUACCGACAUGUACUGCGAUGGGGGGACGGAGAAGGCUAGGUGGGCCAGGCGUUGGUAGUCCUGGUGAAAGUUAGUAGGCUGAGGGUUUAGGCAAAUCCGGACCCUUAAGGCCGAGAAACGAGACGAGUACCUACGGGUACGAAGCCAUUGAUGCCCUGCUUCCGGGAAAAGCCUCUAAGCUUCAGGUACAUGUUGACCGUACCCGAAACCGACACAGGUGGUCAGGUAGAGAAUACUAAGGCGCUUGAGAGAACUCGGGUGAAGGAACUAGGCAAAAUAGUACCGUAACUUCGGGAGAAGGUACGCCACCUUUGGUGAAGACUUCGCGUCGUAAGCUGAAGGUGGUCGCAGUGACCAGGUGGCUGGGACUGUUUAUUAAAAACACAGCACUCUGCUAACUCGAAAGAGGACGUAUAGGGUGUGACACCUGCCCGGUGCCGGAAGGUUAAUUGAUGGGGUUAGCGUAAGCGAAGCUCUUGAUCGAAGCCCCGGUAAACGGCGGCCGUAACUAUAACGGUCCUAAGGUAGCGAAAUUCCUUGUCGGGUAAGUUCCGACCUGCACGAAUGGUGUAACCAUGGCCACGCUGUCUCCACCCGAGACUCAGUGAAAUUGAAAUCGCUGUGAAGAUGCAGUGUACCCGCGGCUAGACGGAAAGACCCCGUGAACCUUUACUACAGCUUGGCACUGAACAUUGAACCUACAUGUGUAGGAUAGGUGGGAGGCUUAGAAGCACUGGCGCUAGUUGGUGUGGAGCCAUCCUUGAAAUACCACCCUUGUAUGUUUGAUGUUCUAACCUAGCACCCUUAUCGGGUGUGGGGACAGUGCCUGGUGGGUAGUUUGACUGGGGCGGUCUCCUCCCAAAGAGUAACGGAGGAGCACGAAGGUUGGCUAAGUACGGUCGGACAUCGUACGGUUAGUGUAAUGGCAGAAGCCAGCUUAACUGCGAGACAGACACGUCGAGCAGAUACGAAAGUAGGUCAUAGUGAUCCGGUGGUUCUGAAUGGAAGGGCCAUCGCUCAACGGAUAAAAGGUACUCCGGGGAUAACAGGCUGAUACCGCCCAAGAGUUCAUAUCGACGGCGGUGUUUGGCACCUCGAUGUCGGCUCAUCACAUCCUGGGGCUGAAGUCGGUCCCAAGGGUAUGGCUGUUCGCCAUUUAAAGUGGUACGCGAGCUGGGUUUAGAACGUCGUGAGACAGUUCGGUCCCUAUCUGCCGUGGGCGUUUGAGAGUUGAGAGGAGCUGCUCCUAGUACGAGAGGACCGGAGUGGACGAACCUCUGGUGUUCCGGUUGUCACGCCAGUGGCACUGCCGGGUAGCUAAGUUCGGAAUCGAUAACCGCUGAAAGCAUCUAAGCGGGAAGCGAGCCUCGAGAUAAGCUCUCACUAGCACAUUAAGUGCUCUGAAGGGUCGUUGCAGACGACGACGUUGAUAGGCGGGGUGUGGAAGCGUUGUAAGGCGUUGAGCUAACCCGUACUAAUUGCCCGUGAGACUUAACCAUACAACACCC
rnacentral:rRNA from 1 species